rnacentral:rRNA from 1 species
CAGGGAUUGCCCUAGUAACGGCGAGUGAAGCGGCAACAGCUCAAAUUUGAAAUCUGGCUUCGGCCCGAGUUGUAAUUUGCAGAGGAAGCUUUAGGCGCGGCACCUUCUGAGUCCCCUGGAACGGGGCGCCAUAGAGGGUGAGAGCCCCGUAUAGUUGGAUGCCUAGCCUGUGUAAAGCUCCUUCGACGAGUCGAGUAGUUUGGGAAUGCUGCUCAAAAUGGGAGGUAAAUUUCUUCUAAAGCUAAAUACCGGCCAGAGACCGAUAGCGCACAAGUAGAGUGAUCGAAAGAUGAAAAGCACUUUGAAAAGAGGGUUAAAUAGCACGUGAAAUUGUUGAAAGGGAAGCGCUUGUGACCAGACUUGCGCCGGGCAGAUCAUCCGGUGUUCUCACCGGUGCACUCUGCCCGGCUCAGGCCAGCAUCGGUUCUCGCGGGGGGAUAAAGGCCCUGGGAACGUAGCUCCUCCGGGAGUGUUAUAGCCCGGGGCGUAAUGCCCUCGCGGGGACCGAGGUUCGCGCAUCUGCAAGGAUGCUGGCGUAAUGGUCAUCAGCGACCCGU